CUUUUCUGCAGGCUGCCAAAGACGCGCUUUUUGGUGAUUUGAAUUGAGCUUUCUCGGCUACCGUACACUUCCGCUUCAGUGAGCAGCUAGCUCUUCAGGUUGUUACCUUUUGGGCUUUCGAACUGGAGUCUCCACGUCGGCUGCUGGUCGUCUAUCUGCAUAUCUCGAAAGAGUAAACAAUCACAACAAAGUAACAAGUUGAAUGGCAGUCUGCUUGUCGGCCGGUGGGACGAGUGGUCGGCCGGUGGGACGAGUGGUCGGCCGGUGGGACGAGUGGUCGGCCGGUGGGACGAGUGGUCGGCCGGUGGGACGAGUGGUCGGCCGGUGGGACGAGUGGUCGGCCGGUGGGACGAGUGGUCGGCCGGUGGGACGAGUGGUCGGCCGGUGGGACGAGUGGUCGGCCGGUGGGACGAGUGGUCGGCCGGUGGGACGAGUGGUCGGUCGGUGGGAAGAGUGGUAGUCCUUGCCUGGACCUGAGACAAAAAGAUUGCGGAGGGCUCUUCAGGCAGCACAGAUCCAGGUGAACGAGCUCAGAGGCUGAAGACAAACUGGCAGGACUUUCACGUUCUGGACCUGGAUUUGCCACCUCUGCCUGGAAAGAAAAAGGAACAUUGACAACAAUUCCAUUUAAGCUUACUGGUUUUAUAUUCAACUGUAGAGUGGAAGCAGCCAGUCGCUGUUUCACAGGCAGAGUUCCUGAAAUGUUGUAAAAAUUCUCCAGGAUGGCUACCUGCACACAACACAAAUCAAUCAAGCUGCCAUUUAGUACAUUUUAUUUGUGUGUCAACUCUGAAAAUGGAGACAACCUGGAGGUACCUCUGCAUGGCUUUGGAGGGCUUUUAUCUUUGGCCAGCAGGUAGCAGAUGUCCCAACUGCAUCCUUACUGGAAAGUGCUCUGCAGGAAGAGGGAGGCAUAAAAAAAAUAAAGCGGGUAAGUGCUUUUAAACAAUACCAAGUUUAUAAUCACCUGGACAAGAGGUUGAUGAUGCCACAAGAUUAAAACCAUGUAGAUCUUCACCAUGCUACAGAAACUUGGUCCUUUGGUCCCACCUAGUGGACAAAAGGAGGAAGAACAUGCUGAAAUGUUUGACAUGUGUCAAACGUUUGGACACGUGCGUGUUUCACCAGUGAUGAAUGGAGAGCAGCACCGGACGUCUCUCCAACUACAGCUCGCUGGUCUGAAAGACACGUCAACCUGUUCCCUCGGUUCCGGAUGCAGGCCUGCCUGGGGACAGAAAUGAGAAGACAAUUAGAAGCAGUCGAUUGAAAGCGUUGACUUUAAAACUCACAAAGUCAGUCGGCCAUGACAGGCUCGUUUUGAGGGUUUGCACCUGCAGACAGAAAGUCGGAUAUUAACAGAAAUUCAUCGAAAUACCCGUUUCAGUAAUUCUCUGGUGGAUUCAUGCAAACGCUGCUAUGUCUACUUACCUUCGGCCAAACGGCGCUGUCGUCCAGACGUCGCUAAAUGUUUGUGCAAAAAUAGGGUUAGUCAUCUUUCCACACGGUGCGUGCCUCAGUUUUCAAAAUGUGCAUGUACUUACCCACCGUUGCAUUCUUAAAUUGUUUGGUUGCACGCCAGAUAAAUGCGUUUUGGUGGUCGUUGGAGAUGUUAACUGCUAACGCUAGCUUCUGCAAACUUUUGAGCUUGCAAGAUGGAAGCACGCCCAAAGUGCAACUAGACGCUGAAAGAGAGCAAAAGCAGUUAAUUUCAAAAGGUUUAACAAAAGUUGAACACCCACCUUGUCACGUUUACACGCUGUUGUACGGCCGGCGCAGCAGGUGGACCAGAGCAACGUGGCUCUCGCUGUCAGUGGUGAGUGCAAGAAUGAGCGUCGCGAUCUUGACGCCUUUUAUACCCUUUUUGUGAUGACGUCAUUAGAAGAAGAAAAAAAGAAAAAAAAAACCCUUCAAACAGGCGCUAAUGCGCGAGAAAAACUGCAAAGACAAUUCUCUGGAGGGUUCGGGCCUCGAACCAGCACUGCAAAGUUCGGAGGCAAUGGUGUUAUCCCCUCGACCAUUGUCCGCUGAAUCUUGACAAAAGAAUUUUGUCUAUUGUUCCAUAUCAUGAAGAUAUCUGCAAUGAAGGUUCAGAAUAAACUUCAAUUACAACCACUUGACCAUUGAAUGUAAGAUCUCGAAUGGCCGAGUGGUUAUAGCUUUUCCCUGGAGUUUGGGAGAGGCGGGUUCGAUUCUUAUACAUCGCUGUAUUUAAUUUGCAAAAGCUGCAAAGAGCAAGUCUCGAACCCGAGGCUGCUGGACACCAAACCAAGUCAUGAACCAUUCAGCCAUUUUGGCGUUAAAAUUUUCUAAGUUUUUUUAUGUAUUCAUAGUAUACGUCUCACACAAUGGAUAAAUUGAUAAAAUCACCGACCAUUUGCAGAACACCAACUGGUGUAAUGGUUAACGCUUUUGCCUUAUGUUCGGGAGAACCAAGUUCGAGUCUCACACUGCGCAAACUUUAGCUCAAAGUCAGCUUCGUGUGGGGUUCGAACCAUAGUCUCCCGAACACCGGGUAAAGUUAAAAA